UAUAACAAACAUACAAACCAUUGGUACAUUGUAAAGACAUAGGGAAGUGUCAUGACAAUGAACAACAUUCGUAUUACUGCAGUUAUGAUUUUGAUGAUAAUUAUGUUAAUCUUUGUGCAAGCCGAUGUCAAUCCUCCAACUUCAUCUAUCGAGCCAAACAAUUUUUUUGAUAGGGUCAAGUGUUUGGUCAAAUGUGGUAUAGAAUGUGCUACACAUAUAAGUUAUAAUUGUUUUACCACAUGUUCUUCACUUUGUCAUAAAAUGUCUAGUGGUGUUGCCUAUGAUUGUAUUAAAGCUUGUGACUUGACCAACUCCGUUGACAUCAACACUGAUGGUGGCCUUUCUGCAUCUUAUGCAGUGGAUUCUUGCUUGCAAGCAUGUAAGAACAAAUGAUACUACAUUACAAGGAUGAUAAUGGAAAAAGUUCUUAGGAGAAUGUCAUUAGUAUAAAAAAAAACUGAAAUAAAAUAAUUUUAAUGAAUGAGUAAUGUAUUUUUCUUUA